CCUACGGGAGGCAGCAGUGAGGAAUAUUGGUCAAUGGACGAGAGUCUGAACCAGCCAAGUAGCGUGAAGGAUGACUGCCCUAUGGGUUGUAAACUUCUUUUAUAAAGGAAUAAAACGAGGCACGUGUGCCUUUUUGCAUGUACUUUAUGAAUAAGGAUCGGCUAACUCCGUGCCAGCAGCCGCGGUAAUACGGAGGAUCCGAGCGUUAUCCGGAUUUAUUGGGUUUAAAGGGUGCGUAGGCUGAAUAUUAAGUCAGCGGUAAAAUUCGGGGGUAAACCCCGUCGUGCCGUUGAAACUGAUGGUCUUGAGUGUGCGAGAGGUAUGCGGAAUGCGUGGUGUAGCGGUGAAAUGCAUAGAUAUCACGCAGAACUCCGAUUGCGAAGGCAGCAUACCGGCGCCCAACUGACGCUGAAGCACGAAAGCGUGGGGAUCAAACAGGAUUAGAUACCCUUGUAGUC
rnacentral:rRNA from 1 species